GAUAAGAUCAAUCCCUAAAACCUAACCCUAGCUACCUUCUCUUCGCCAAUCCUCCAUGGUCACUAUAUAUUCAGUGAAGACGCUGCAGGUUGGCCGUAUAAGUAGAUAAAUAGAAGGAUUAGCUCUUCCUUUUUGGGCGUGUUUGGUAGGGUUAUGUGUAGGAGAUCAUCAUCCAUGGCCUCAGGUCAAGAGGAAGACGAUAACGAUGAUCAUGAUGAUGAACAGAUUUUGAUGGCUCUCACCAUCACCAAUCGAAUCGAUGAUUUACCAGAGAAAAUGCUGGCCAAACAUUGUCCAUGGAUCCUGCCAUGUUUUGCACAGACCACGCCAACAUGCUUGGUAAUGUCAGGCCAGUCUUGAGACUGUGCACCACCAGUAGAGUCGGAGCAGCAUGAAAGUUGACCGAUUUAUGAAGAACAAAAUGUAGAAAAUACGAUAUAUCCUAGAUAGCUAUAUAUAUAUGUGGAGAGUUAAGAAUAAAGGAAUGAGUUCACCGGGAUCAUGGCUUCAUGACCCCUUUUAUUUAUAUUUCUGUGGCCUUCAAUUAAUUAUGCAUGUCCCAUUUGACAGUGUAAACUGGAAAGCCUUCUGACUUGUUUAUAUAACUAUUAUUUGUGAAAAUUUUCUGAAUUGUAACUGAAUUGAAGUUCUGAUUCAUAGGUCAAGAAAGAAAAUUUUUCUUUGAUUUUA